UGCAAAGAUGGAGGGGAAUUAUGCUUCGGAUUCCUCUGAAAUAUUGGCCAAAGGCUUCAAAGAAUCCGCAGCGGGAGGUGCGGGGGGAAUGUCUCUCCCCAGCCCGCACCCAGCCCUUCCCACUUCGCGUCUACCAAAUGACAGCCUGGUGCUCGCUCUUGGUGAUUUGGCCUUGACUUCAGCCAAGCAGCUGAUGCAGACGAAGGCUCCGUUUGCAGGACUGGCAAAGUGCACGCUAAAGAAAGAAGGAAGAAAUUUUUCAAAAAGCAGCUCUGGGGAGGUUUCAUACUCCCCCCCCCCCCUUUUUUUUUAAUUUUUAAGUGAAUAUUUUCCAAAUUUGAUCAGUUCCAGCCCCUCCCUCCACUCCCACCCAACUGCCCUUUUUUCUCUCGUCAAAGCAUAAGCUACAGAGUUACAGUCUCGAGAUUUGGUGUAUCGCUUCCUGCCCCCGCCUCCCCUCCCCGCCCCCGUUCUCCGUCCUCUAUUGAAACACCUCGCCCAGCCUAGCGCACUGAGAGCUCUCAUUUCCCCCCCUUGCUCGGGAUGGUGCCACAGGAGGCUGUGCGGGCCCCGCUCCGCUUCGAAUGGAUAACCCUCCUUCCUCCACCUCACAAAAACUCACAAGCUGCAACCCUUCUGAUGUCCACUCCCACACAAACGAGCUUCAGGCCUGUUUCAAGAAAUGACAUCUUGCUAUGUUGACCAGGUUGGUCUAAAACUCCUGGCCUCAAGUGAUCCUCCCAGUUUGGCCUCCCAAAGUGCUGGAAUUAUAGAGUGCAGGAAAUUCCACCCCCCAAAUAUGGCAUGUUGGCAUGCUGAGUAUUUUAAGCUGAAGGAAACAGAGAAAACCACAGAAGCAGAAAGUUCUUUCUGACCUCUCUUGAAGACCCUCAUGUGACAGGUGUCCUGCCCUACAUCCAGAGAGAAGGAAUGUUCCACAGAGAGACUAAGAAGAAUCUGAAGAAUCAGGCCUUACUAAGUGCCCUCCAGUGGAUGCUGUGGGGCACCACCUCCUUGAGGACCAAGGCACUCCAGCUGCCAGGAAUAUUGGCUGCUAACCUCACACAGCUGAGCCUUCCAUGAAAAUUGCUCUCUGCCAAAGAGAACUUCCUAGUCCAAGGUCAUGUCUACUCUCCAGAGAUGUGACUGGAGUGAUUUGCACCCGGAUGCCUAGACCCGCCAUCUGCUCAAAGACUGCUCAGAAAGCCCUCCCAUGCAUUCCCCCCGCUGCAUAUCAGCCCACUCUGCCUGCAGCUGCUGUCUGCAGGACUUCAUAUCUAUGCCACACUGUUUAAAAGCUGUGCUUCAAGAAAUCACAAAAACAUUUUCCUGCACCUACUACACAGCCUGAGUGCAGCAUAAGUUGACCUUGCUUGCUAAGAAAUGGGGCAAGAAAUGCUUUUUUGUGUGUGUCACAUCUGUUUGUUUUUCAAGUAAGAGAGGAAAGCAUUAGGCAGAUGGAAUGUACAUGUGAGGAUGAGGAGACAGAAAACAAGUAGCCCUUUCCAUCAAGAUAGAGGGUUUUCUGGGAUCGCUGGCUCUUGAAUGUCACUCCUGAUUUCUCUUUCCAAGGCACUGUACCACCAGCCUACUGAGAUUGUGUGGGAGCUUUCAUGGAGGUUGUAUUUCACUAAUGAAAAUAAAUUUGUGCAUAAUCUGAAUGUUUA